AACCCGCCUGCGUGAAGUUGGAAUCGCUAGUAAUCGCGGAUCAGAAUGCCGCGGUGAAUACGUUCCCGGGCCUUGUACACACCGCCCGUCACACCAUGAGAGUCGGGAACACCCGAAGUCCGUAGCCUAACCGCAAGGGGGCGCGGCCGAAGGUGGGUUCGAUAAUUGGGGUGAAGUCGUAACAAGGUAUC
rnacentral:rRNA from 1 species